GACGAACGCUGGCGGCGUGCUUAACACAUGCAAGUCGAACGGAAAGCCCUUUCGGGGGUACUCGCGUGGCGGACGGGGGGGUAACACGGGGGGGAUCUGCCCCGCCCCCCGGGGUAAGCCUGGGAAAAUGGGUCUAAUACCGGGUAGGACCGGCCUUUAGUGUGUGUGGUGGAAAGUUUUUUCGGUGUAGGAUGAGCCCGCGGCCUAUCAGCUUGUUGGUGGGGUAAUGGCCUACCAAGGCGGCGACGGGUAGCCGGACUGAGAGGUUGGUCGGCCACAUUGGGACUGAGAUACGGCCCAGACUCCUACGGGAGGCAGCAGUGGGGAAUAUUGCACAAUGGGCGCAAGCCUGAUGCAGCGACGCCGCGUGGGGGAUGACGGCCUUCGGGUUGUAAACUCCUUUCGCCAGGGACGAAGCGUUUUGUGACGGUACCUGGAGAAGAAGCACCGGCUAACUACGUG
rnacentral:rRNA from 1 species